rnacentral:rRNA from 1 species
UACGUAGGGUGCGAGCGUUAAUCGGAAUUACUGGGCGUAAAGCGUGCGUAGGCGGUUACAUAAGCUUGAUGUGAAAGCCCCGGGCUUAACCUGGGAAUGGCAUUGAGGACUGUGUGGCUUGAGUGCGGCAGAGGGAGGUGGAAUUCCAGGUGUAGCAGUGAAAUGCGUAGAGAUCUGGAGGAACACCGAUGGCGAAGGCAGCCUCCUGGGCCGACACUGACGCUGAGGGCACGAAAGCGUGGGGAGCAAACAGG